rnacentral:misc_RNA from 1 species
AACGCACGAGACCUGCGGACCUGCGGAAGGAUCAUUAAAGAGUAAGGGUGCUAGUCGCCCGACCUCCAACCCUCUGUUGUUAAAACUACCUUGUUGCUUUGGCGGGACCGCUCGGUCUCGAGCCGCAGGGGCUUCGGCCCAGGCGAGCGCCCGCCAGAGUUAAACCAAACUCUUGUUUUUAUAACCGGUCGUCUGAGUAAAAAUUUUGAAUAAAUCAAAACUUUCAGCAAUGGAUCUCUA